rnacentral:rRNA from 1 species
AGCUCCAAUAGCGUAUAUUAAAGUUGUUGCAGUUAAAAAGCUCGUAGUUGGAUCUGUGGUCUAUGCAAGGCUCCCGUCCCUCUCGGGUUUCGGUGUUGCGUUGCGUGAGGGGUGGAAUCUGUGUGGCAUUAGGUUGUCGUGCAGGGGAUGCCCAUCGUUUACUGUGAAAAAAUUAGAGUGUUCAAAGCAGGCUUAUGCCGUUGAAUAUGUUAGCAUGGAAUAAUGAUAUAGGACCUUGGUACUAUUUUGUUGGUUUGCGCACCGAGGUAAUGAUUAACAGGGUCAACUGGGGAUAUUCGUAUUCCGCUGUCAGAGGUGAAAUUCUUGGAUUUUUGGAAGACGAACUACUGCGAAAGCAUUUAUCAAGGAUGUUUUCAUUAAUCAAGAACGAAAGUACGCA